rnacentral:lncRNA from 1 species
UCAACAAAAGAAAGAAAAAAGAGCAGAGCUCAAUGUACAGAUGACCGAUGGAGAAAAGCAGGAAAAACUCAAAAGACGCCGUGAAACCUAUCAACAAAAGAAAGAGAAGAUAUGUGCACAGCAUAGGCAGAUAUAUGCAAAUAUGCAGUCAGAACAAAAGAAAGCUAGAAUAGAACAUAUAAAUGAAUUGAAGCGCAGCACAGCAAACAAAGACUCAAUUGCGAUGCAAAACCCUGCAUAUAGCUCAACUGAACAAGAAGUUUGUAUUUCUACCCCUUCUGUAAAUCACAGAAAGCAUGUCACGCGAGGAGAAAGACAAACAUUGCUGCACCGCCGUAACAAACAAUUCACGACAAGACGGAGGAAAAAUGUUACAGUAUCAUCAAAAGAAGAUGCAUCCAUGACGGAAAUCGGCAACAAUGACACAGAGCCUCUACAUCAACCACAAGUAAUGAUUUACGGUAAAAAUCUAAAUUUGAUACAAUACUAGCAUUCAAAGUAAAUAUACAUGUGUUUGUACAACUAACCAUAUUUUGUGGACAGACAUCCCCUCAUCAAUGUUUCCAAGCAUGAAAGAAGCAGAUACCCCAACAAAGACAUUAUACAAUGGCGAUCACAAUAAGGUGGCUUCAUGGCCAGACAUCCCCUCUUCAAUGUCUCCUACAAUCAAAGAAGUAGAUGCACGAAUAGAAUCAUUCUACAAUGAUGUUCGCGGUAUGAUAAUCAAUUGGAUAUACUUUUAUACAAUACAAAAACUAUAUGCAUAUCUAUAUAAAUAAAAAAUUCUACACAACAAAUAAUAAAGUCAUGUGUGAGAAAGACACAGACAUCAAAGAAGCAGACGCACCAACACAAUCAAUCCACAAUGAGGAUCAUGGUAAGGUUAUCAAUUUCAUAUAUAUUGUUAUGAAGUACAGAGAAAUAUAAUAUAUAUAUAAGAUUACAACACAGGUAAUGACGAAAUCAUAUUUGAAGAAGAUACAAACGAGGACGAACACAUGUUCUCUGGUCAAGGUAUGCCCAAUACAAUUUAAAUAGAUUCGAAUCAUUAUAUUUCUCCUUUACUAAAAAUUUUAUGCUACAAACCAUACUAGAAUGGGGCAGAGAAGUGGAAAUUGAAAUCAAAGAAGACGAAGAAAUUCACAAGUCUGAUCCAUAUGAUUUUGUCUACAGUAACAUACCAAAAAACACACAUGUGCUCAAACCGGAAGAGAAUUGCAGAUUAUGUCAUGCAAAAAAAUUCAAGUAUGAAACUAAGGGGUUAUGCUGCAGAAAAGGACAGAUAAGACUGGCCAAUCCAGAUACACCACCUGAACUCAUGAGACUUUGGACAAGCAACGACUCUGAUGCAAGACAUUUUCGGCAAAAUGUAAGAUUUUUCAAUGGACACUUCUCAUUUACUACUCUAUAUUGUCACCUUGACAGAGACACAACUGACAUGCGAACAGCUGGUAUUUACACCUUUCGAGCUCAUGGUCAGAUCUAUCACAACAUACAUUCAUUUGGUAAUAGUCACUCAGAUCCAAAGCAUUUGGAGCUAUACUUCUACGACGAUGAUCCAAGCUUAGAGCAUCGAUAUCGUCGUUGCCGCGAGGAAAUGUAUGAGCAAGACAAGCAUGUGAUUGGAAUAAUAACCAACAUCCUACGCGGUAACCCGUACUCUCAACAGUUUAGGAGUUUGGGACAAGCCCAAAAUCUUGAGGACUACAGAGUCAUCUUGAACCUUGACCAAAGAUUGGACCAGAGAACAUACAACGCACCAAUCAAUUCAGAGGUAGCUGCAGUGUGGAUUGAAGGAAAUGAAAGAAGAGAUACUUAUGACAGGAGUGUAAUACUACAUGGGAACAACAACGAAAAAGAGCACAUUCGAUCAUAUUACGGGUGCUAUGAUCCGUUGUCGUAUCCUCUAUUCUUUCCAAGAGCUGAACUGGGUUGGCAUAGGAAAAUCCCAAAGAAGAAUACACAAGAGGAAGACAUUGGUGCUGAUAAUAUCAAUAAUGACGAGGACCCAGGUAAAAAAUUCAUAUACUAUUAUAUUCAAAAUUCAAUUUUCAUAUACGGUACAGUACAAACUUAUGCAACUAACUUUUUAUGUUGCAAUUUUUGCAUAGAUUCGGUCAACGGCUUGUGGGUAACCAUGAAAGAAUACUACUGCUAUAAAUUCCAUACAUGACCAAGCAUAUUCAACCCAAUAUUGCAUGGCGGACGGCUUUUCCAGCAGUUUGUUGUAGAUACAUACAUCAAGAUUGAAAGCUCCAGACUGGAUUACAUGUGGCAUCAUCAAAAGAAAAUAAGGGCAGAUCUAUACCAAGGCCUUCUAGACAGCAUUCAAGCCGGAGAACAGAAUGGAGAUGCAGUCGGAAAACGGAGAGUACUUGCCUCAUCAUUUAUUGGAGGGCCACGAGAUAAGCUUCGUCGGUAUCUGGAUGCGAUGGCUUUAGUUAGAAAAUAUGGAAAGCCAGACGUAUUCCUAACAAUGACCUGCAACCCCAACUGGGAAGAGAUCACACGUGAACUAGAGUUUGGACAAACACCACAAGAUCGCCCAGACAUUGUCGUUCGUGUUUUCAGGGCGAAGCUAGAAGAAAUGAAGAAGCAACUAUUUGAGAAGGCCAUUCUUGGAAAGGUUACGGCAUAUACAUAUGUCGUAGAGUUCCAAAAGAGGGGAUUACCCCAUGCUCACUUUUUGCUCAUCAUGACCGGAAAAUACAAGUACACAUGUCCAGAACAGUAUGACAGAAUCAUCUCCGCUGAGCUCCCUAACAAGCACAAGUACCCAGAGAUAUAUAAAAUGGUAAUCAAACAUAUGAUGCAUGGUCCUUGCGGUGCAUUGAAUAAAUUUUGCCCGUGCACAAAGAAUCGUCCGUCAUGCAAGAACAAUUAUCCAAGGCCAUUUAACGAAACUACGAUUCAAGGCAAGGACUCAUACCCAGUAUAUAGGAGACGCAAUGACGGCCGGACCGAAACGGUAAGAAAUUGCAAACUAGAUAACAGAUGGGUGGUUCCUUACAACCCCUAUCUGUUAAGGAUGUUCAACUACCACAUAAAUGUUGAGAUAUGCUCAAGCAUUAAAGCUGUUAAGUACCUCUUCAAGUACAUCUACAAGGGACAUGAUCGAGCAUCUGUAUCUGUAACCGACAAAGUAGAUGAAGUCAAAAUCGACGAGAUUAAACAGUACAGAGACGCACGGUGGGUGACUCCUCCGGAAGCAAUGUGGAGAAUAUAUGGCUUUGAACUAAGCAAAAUGCACCCACCAGUCUUGCAACUGCAGCUACAUCUCCCAAAUAUGCACAUGGUUUCAUAUCAUGGCACAGAAACAAUAAAGAAUGUUCUCGACCGUGAUGGCACGGAAAGAUCAAUGUUGACUGCGUACUUUGAAGCAAACAGUUUACAUGAGAAAGCACGAGGCAUACUAUACAGAGAUUUUCCGGAAUAUUAUACUUGGCAAAGACAAGAGAAGUUUUGGCAAGAGAGGAAGCGAGCCGCUGUGUUCCAGGUUGGCAGGAUCGUCUCAGCACACCCGGCUGAAGGAGAACGAUACUAUCUACGAGUCCUCCUCAACCACGUGACAGGCGCCACCAGCUACGAAGACCUACGAACAGUCAAUGGACAAGUAAUGCCAACCUUCCGUGAAGCUGCAGAAAAACGGGGGCUCAUUGAGGCAGACAACACAUUAGACGAAUGCAUGGCAGAAGCAGAGUUGUUUCGAAUGCCAUCAUCUCUAUGAAGGCUAUUCGCGACAAUCCUGGUUUUUUGCGAGCCCAGCGACGUCCGUGGUCUAUGGAACAAACACCUCGAGGCAAUGUCAGAGGACUACAGCAGAAACUGCAAAUGCAAGCACACGGUCGAACAAAUGGUGCUGAGAAAUCUUAGGGACAUGUUGCACUCAAUGGGAAAAGAUAUAGAAUCUUUUCCUCUUCCAGAGAUCGACACACAGCAUGAGAUGACAAACGGCGUGCCUAGGGAAAUCAUUGAGGAGACCUCCACACGAGGUGGACCCUGAGGGCACAUUGUUGCAUAAAAACCUAAAUACCGAGCAAAGGAUGGCCUAUGACGAAAUCCUAGCCACAGUUGACUGCCAAAGAGGAGGUAUAUUCUUUGUCGAUGGGCCGGGAGGCACAGGAAAACUUUUCUUUACAGGGCGCUCUUGGCCACAGUACGCGGACAAGGCAAGAUUGCAGUGGCGACAGCCACUUCCGGUGUUGCUGCUUCCAUAAUGCCUGGAGGGAGGACCGCACACUCAAGGUUCAAAAUUCCACUAAAAAUAGAUGAUGGUGCUAUUUGUAGCUUCACAAAACAAAGUGGGACAGCCAAGCUACUCCAAGCAGCAUCACUAAUAAUCUGGGAUGAAGCAUCUAUGACUAAGAGGCAAACAGUGGAGGCGCUAGACAAAAGCAUGAGGGACAUAAUGGACAGACCAGAUCUUCCUUUUGGUGGAAAAACGGUCGUAUUUGGGGGAGAUUUUAGACAAGUGCUCCCUGUUGUCCGAAAGGGAACAAGGGCCCAGAUAGUAGAUGCAUCGCUACGCACGUCAGAGCUCUGGAAUUGCAUGCGUCAGUUGAAGCUUGUGCGCAACAUGAGGGCUCAAAACGACCCUUGGUUCGCAGAAUACCUACUACGCAUUGGAAAUGGAACUGAGAAGACAAAUGAUGAUGGUGAAAUACUUCUACCUAGAAGUAUAUGUGUGGCAAAUAAGACGGAUGAUAAUGGCUUGGAUAGACUCAUUGACAGUAUCUACCAAACAGGCAAUGCUUCCCUAAUAAAGGAUCCAAAGUACAUCACAUCAAAAGCAAUUUUAUCCACAAGGAACGACUGCGUGGACAAAAUCAACUUAAAAAUGAUUGAUCGCUUCCAGGGGGAGGAGAUGGUGUACCACAGCUUUGAUUCCGUAGAAGACGACCCACAUAACUACUAUCCACCAGAAUACUUAAAUACCCUAACCCCAAAUGGACUGCCUCCACAUAUGUUGAAGCUCAAAAUAAAUUGCCCAAUCAUACUACUCAGGAACAUCGACCCUGCUAAUGGACUCUGCAACGGUACGAGGUUGGUCGUGCGUGGAUUUCAAAAAAAUGCAAUUGACACAGAGAUUGUGGUGGGACAGCACUCUGGAAUGCGAGUUUUCCUGCCUCGGAUACCAUUAUGUCCCUCUGACGAUGACAUGUUCCCGUUCAGUUUCAAGAGGAAACAGUUCCCAAUCAGGCUCAGUUUUGCAAUGACAAUAAACAAAUCACAAGGACAGACAAUACCAAAUGUCGGCAUCUACCUGCCUGAACCGGUUUCUUCACAUGGUCAGUUAUAUGUCGCGCUUUCUAGAGCAACUGCGACAUCAAACAUAAAGGUUCUAACAGGUACACGUGGUGAGAACAAGCAGAAGAAUAAAAAUACCACUACAUGCGACACAUACACAAAGGGAGAGAAGAAUAGGAAGAGCACUACAAGCGAGACAUAUACGAAAAAUAUUGUAUACACGGAAGUAUUAACCAAAUAGGUAAUGCAACCUUUUAAUUUCUUGUUCAAAAUUUCAGUUUCUACUUGGUAGGAUCAUCAUUUAAGAAAAACUUAAAAGUAUAUUUAUAUUUCGCAUUGCAUUGCUUCUUUUCUAACCUUAAAUAUAUUACUUGGAUUCUACAGGAACAUUAAAGCCAAGUGACAACUUCACAGUUGGAAUUCAAAACUUGAUCGUCUUGGAGGAGACUAAGACUAACUCAUUUGUGUAUAUACAAAUCAUUUAUGGUAUAUUUCUCAUGUAUAAUGUCCUGAGCGAACAAAUUAUGUGUCCACUAACUCAUUCAUGGUUUUUCUAUAGAAAUAAUUCUAAGUAUAUAUACAAAUUUAGCACCAAAAUGUGUAACUAAGGGCAGAAAGAGACUUACAAGCCAAAAUAAGAACAUAUUUGUCACCUUGGAAAUGCUGCUGUUGCCCAGAUUUUUCUAAACAUCACAUUCUCUACAUACCCCGAAACCUGAAAUAUAAACGACCAAUUAUGGCUGUACAAGCUGUACCAAAAUUUCUACUAUGCAAUCCUCAAAGAAUUUCGACUGCAAUUAUAUGUUUCUGCGUGAGAUUAACUGCUCCCAAGUGAAGCUUACUCCAAG